AGCGAACGCUGGCGGCAGGCCUAACACAUGCAAGUCGAACGAACCUUUCGGGGUUAGUGGCGGACGGGUGAGUAACACGUGGGAACGUGCCUUUAGGUUCGGAAUAACUCAGGGAAACUUGUGCUAAUACCGAAUGUGCCCUUCGGGGGAAAGAUUUAUCGCCUUUAGAGCGGCCCGCGUCUGAUUAGCUAGUUGGUUGAGGUAAUGGCUCACCAAGGCGACGAUCAGUAGCUGGUCUGAGAGGAUGAUCAGCCACAUUGGGACUGAGACACGGCCCAAACUCCUACGGGAGGCAGCAGUGGGGAAUCUUGCGCAAUGGGCGAAAGCCUGACGCAGCCAUGCCGCGUGAAUGAUGAAGGUCUUAGGAUUGUAAAACUCUGUUAUUAGGGAAGAACAAAUGUGUAAGUAACUAUGCACGUCUUGACGGUACCUAAUCAGAAAGCCACGGCUAACUACGUG
rnacentral:rRNA from 1 species